GGGAAAAUUGUGGAUAUGUUAUAUUCAACUUAUAUUCCGAUUUUAAUAAAUCAAACAUUUUUUGAAUCCGCAUUAAUUUACUUCUUUCGCAGCUCUUCACAAAGUUUACGGGACUACCAUCUCUCAUUCAGGACGUACAGGGAAGGUCAAUUCAAAAUUCACAAAUAUGGAGUGCUACGUUCUUUGCAUGCCAAGAGCUACUUGGAAUUGCAAAUUUGGAAUGAUUUUCCAAAUGCGUUUUGUGUCGACAUCGUGUACCUUACAAAAGAAAGCUUGGGAAGCAAUACAAAAGCACUAACCUUAGAAGUGUGGGAUGGACGUUACAAUCAAGAAUUCCCAAUAAAAACAAGUGGAAAAAUGGAGUGGAUUGAGCAGAGAAUUACUUCAACAUCACUCACACUGAAAAAGGGUAUGAUAGUCUGGCUGGUGGCUCACUUUGCAGAUCUCGUCAUUGGAGGGAUUAAAUUCUGCAAAGAAGAACCUACGGCGCCAAUCGUGUCGAACUGCUAUGCUUUUGGUGAAGAAAAAACAACGCUAGGCACCAACAAGAAUCACUUCACAAACCUUUUGAAUACUCUCAGCGAUUGCAGAAAAUUUGGAGGAGAUUGUGCUGGAUACCAACUGUGUAGCAAUCAUGAGAAUGGUCUAAACUGUUCCUGCUUUGCUGGGUUUUCCGGAAAAAAUUGCAACACUACUUGUCAAGGCAAAAACUUUGGCUUGAACUGCGCUAGCACAUCCAAUAAACAUUGUUUAAAUGACGAAAUCGACCGUGCUUACGGAGACUGCAUCCGUGGGUGUGCACUUGGCUACGAACCCCCAAAUUGUGAAAGUGAUCCAGUUUGGAUUUCUGUAUGAAGCUGCCAAACACUACUUGUCCUCCUUCGCCACCUAUGGAAACUUCAAAUGAGUGAAUUAAUCUAUAAACACAACAUUUUACUACACUUAACCAUCAAGUAAAACCUUAGUUUUUUAAGUUUAAUUAAAUAAUGAAAUGCGCAUUUAAAAAUUAAAAUUACAAAUGUAAAGCUGACUCCGAAAAUUUAGACAGUAAAAUUCAGCACUUAUAAAAAAACAAGUUAAAUUCAAGGAUUCGUUAAGGAUAGAAAAAAUAAUUACGGAUGAAAAGUUUUAGUACUACGAAUAAUGGAAGAUCUUAGAAAAUACAAUUUUAAUUAUAGACACAACAAAACUACGCGUGAGGGAGAGAAAAUUCUCCCUCAAAAUUACAAUGUUAUUUGUUUGUUCAUUAA